CAUGAGUGAUGAUGGAGGAUCAGUGGGACGGGCAAAUGGACAUACCCAGAACAGCCACCUGAUGGUCUUAAUUCUCAUCAAUGUCGUAGAUCCUGUAUUGGUUUAUGCUCACCUUUCGCAGAAGAAAGCAGAUGCGCUCAAUGUUUCUUAGUCUCUCUCGCUGUCAAAGAAAGGUGAGAAAUUCACUAGCAAAACAAUGUUCCGCUCUGCGUAGACACAUCACUCAAGCCACCAGACAAGAUUUUGCUCUUGGUUACAUCAGGGUACAUCCAAAGUAACGCCAUGACACUCAAUGGAAUGACUCUGCAUUUACUGCGGUUAGCGCAGAACAGACUCUGUUGCACUGUGCCUAAGAGGAGUGAGCAAUUCAAAAAACCACAUAUACAAAUUCAAAAAGCUACCUUCAGCCACAAGAUCACUGUAC